GGAGAUGUGGCCAUAAAUAUAACAAUCUAGUUUCCUUAUUUGGUGCUUUUUAAACUGUCAUACCCGUGCCCUGAUUAUGCAAAGAGGUACCGGGGACAAGAAACUAUAAGAUAAGAUCCCCCAGAGUGACACUGGUACAGAACCUAACACAAGCUAAGAAGGACUAGAAGAAACAAUUAUCACACAUACCUAGCAAGUGGAUAUUGGUUUCUAAUGCCAUUCACCAGUAAAAAAACACACAGGACUACUUGGAGAAAUUGACUGAUUCUAGGACUGAGGCUAGAAAUACUCAAGAUCAGCCUGGAGUUUCUUAUAGUGCCAGAAAGUAAGAAAGUGCUUGAAAAAAAAGAACCACAGAGUCCCACAAUAAUAGGAGUAUGUCAAAGACAUGAAGGAGCCAACUGAAGGAGCUCUUAAUGGCCAAAACUCGAAAAAUUGGAGCAAUGAAAUAAAGUAAAGCAGAAUUGGAUUAUAACCUAAAGUAUAAAAUAAGUAUUCAUAAGUCUAUGCCAAUAGAAAUGAUUGAAUAAAUAAAUGAGGAAAAGGGGCAAAUUUCCUGUGCAGAGAAAUUCCAGCUGAUUUAUGUACUCCUCUCUCAAGUUGGAGUAUAACACCUAACUUCUUAAGUGUCGGUUGGACUUAGUGACUUCCUUCAAAACUAUACAGUAUGAAAGGGGAAGGAAAAGGUAACUUUACCUGGAAAAAGCUGACACAUGCUACCUCAGCCAGGAGAUCAAGUUCAACAUCAACAGUGAUAAGUCAUAUUGAUGGGAACAAGGCUCUUUUGUCUUUGAUUUUCCAAUCAAACCAGAACAAUUUGCAUUCUGGUUUGCCUCUUCUCCAAAGAAUCACAACUCCUCGCCAGCAAGGGAGAAAAACUGGGCAGAGAAUGAAUUUAAUGAGUUGACAGAAGUAGGCUUCAGAAAGUGGGUAAUAACAAACUACUUCGAGCUAAAGGAGCAUGUUCUAACCCAAUGCAAGGAAGCUAAGAACCUUGACAAAAGGUUAGAGAAAUUGCUAACUAGAAUAACCAGUUUAGAGAAGAACAUAAAUGACCUGAUGGAGCUGAAAAACACAGCACGAGAGAGAGCUGGUGAGGCAUACCCAUGUAUCAAUAGCCAAAUCGAUCAAGCAGAAGAAAGGAUAUCAAAGAUUGAAGAUCAACGUAAUGGAAUAAAGCAUGAAUACAAGAUUAGAGAAAAAAGAAUGAAAAGGAAUGAACAAAGCCUCCAAGAAAUAUGGGACUCUGUGAAAAGACCAAACCUACGUUUGAUUGGUGUACCUGAAAGUGACGGGGAGAAUGGAACCAAGUUGGAAAACACUCUUCAGGAUAUUAUCCAGGAGAACUUCCCCAACGUAGCAAGACAGGCCAGCAUUCAAAUUCAGGAAAUACAGAGAACACCACAAAGAUACUCCUCGAGAAGAGCAACCCCAAUACAGCAAGCGCUUAGUAAACGUCUUCUGAAGGAAUACUCGUAACCGGAUAGAAUGGAGACGAGGAACCAAUUUAAAAUAAAAGUACCUGCCUGUGAUUCCCAGCGUGUUUCCCAAGGCCAUGGUUUCCCAUUCUAUAUCCAGACCCUUCCAGGGACAGGACUAUUCUCAGAGCAAAGAGUCAUUUUCUCUAGCUUCUUUGCAGUGAUGAAUAAAAGCCACUGUGGAACUCA
ensembl:lncRNA LINC02949 long intergenic non-protein coding RNA 2949